ensembl:lncRNA
UGAGUUGGAAGGGGCCGUGGGGGUGGGGCUGGGCUUCAGAACCUGGGGAACACCUGCUAAGAAGGAGGAGGAGGAGGAGGAGGAGGAGGAGGAGGAGGAGGAGGAGGAGGAGGAGGAGGAGGAGAAUGUCGAUGGGGGUGGCGUGACACAGGGAAUGGGAAGGUGGCCUUAUGCUGGGCGAAAUCCGUGCAAAAGAGAGAAAAAUCCUGGCUGAUCUCGUUUCUCUGUGCCAUGGGAAGGAGUAAGGACCAACGGAAUCAACACUCCAGCUAUGGUAAACCUGUGGACGGUCAAACCCCCAUAGUCCUGGAAGGCAAGCAUAAUGUCCAGGACGGGAGAGCAAACAAACACACGUCACACACCGAGAAGGAAAGCAACAGUCAUCCUCCUCCAGGAGGGAAACCUUUUUUAUACCUUGAGUUAUACCGCAUUUUGAGCCCCGGAAUUCGAAAGACGACUGUAUGAGUCAACUAGUGUAUAUAAAAGAGAGAAAGAGAAUAAAAGCAACAAAAAAAUAACAAAAUGAACACAAAAUUUAAAAAAAGUUUAAAAAUAAAUGGAAAAAAAAAAAAAAGUAAAUGAUAAAGGAAGAAGGAAAAGGAAGAACAAAGGGCAGCGGAGAGAGAAAAGGAGCUGCAGAAAUGAAUCCAAAGUUGCAGGAAGCCUAUGCCUUUCUAAAUGAGCUCGCUUUGGGUCUUGAGCAACGGCCCUGAAGGGAGAAAAGCAUAUGUGGCACUCUGCUGGCAUCUUUUGGUGCUAGGACCCUGAACGCUAGAAGAGUGUCCAGUGAGAACGAUAGAAAUUGGGGAGGACUCGCUGGAGCGCAAAGUUGAGGCAAGGGUUUAUUGUUGUCCGGGAGGGGUUGUCCUCAGGCAGGGGUCUGGGUCGGAGACCCCUAAAGGGGAGAGGUUCGGUGGGCAGACAUAUGUUUCCACACGUGUGUUAGGAUGUGAAUGGUGAGCCCACGGAAGUCCUGUGCAGCCGGCAUUUGUGUGCUGAACUCGGAAGCCCCGCAGUGAAUCUCUAGCGGGCAAGGCUGGAAGGCCCAAUGCCCCCGAAUCAUUUGCAUCCUGAGCCCUUUGGUCCAGGGGGUCAGGUCGGAAGUGCGUGUGGGGCCUCGUCAAGGGGAAUUCCCCGAGAAAAGUGUGGGUGGUUGGAUGGCGGGAGUGGGAGUGGGCACGCCCUCGGCCGCCUCAGCCAAUGAGGAGCCUGCACGCGGGGUGGGGCUGUGGGGAAGCCCCAAAGGCCCGAGGGGGCGGGGCCCAGGCCCUUUUCUGGAGCCGGACCGUCUGAGGGAAGGAGGCGUCGGCGUGCAGCUGCAGGUAGGAGAUGGAAACCCUCGUGGGCCUUGUGUGCAGAGCCCCGGGGGCUGCUUCUGAGCACGGGAGGUGUGUGUCCGUCUCCUUCGACGCCUUCCCGGAGGGCAAGGUUGUGGGCCCAGCGCCGCUGGUGCGGAUGCC